AGACUUGUAGACAUACGGAGGUGGGGGCGAUGGUGAUGGAGGAGGAGGAGACUUAUAAACAUAAGGAGGUGGUGGUGAAGGUGACGGUGGUGGAGGAGACUUGUAGACAUAAGGAGAUGGCGAUGUUGGAGGUGGAGAUUUGUAUAUAUAUGGGGGUGGUGGAGAUGGUGAUGGUGGGGGUGGAGACUUGUAUACAUAUGGAGGAGGUGGCGAUGGUGAUGGUGGUGGUGGAGACUUAUAUACAUAAGGAGGUAGUGGAGAAGGUGAAGGUGGUGGGGGAGACUUGUACACAUAAGGAGGAGGAGGAGAUGGAGAUGGUGGGGGAGGAGACUUGUAGACAUAA
rnacentral:lncRNA from 1 species